rnacentral:rRNA from 1 species
GAGUUUGAUUCUGGCUCAGGACAAACGCUGGCGGCGUGCCUAACACAUGCAAGUCGAGCGGGGACAUGGGAACAGCAAUGAGCCUGUGUUCCAGCGGCGGACGGGUGAGUAACGCGUGGGCAACCUGGCCUGCACAGAGGGAUAACGAGGCGAAAGUCUCCCUAAUACCUCAUGAGACCACACUGUUGCAUGACAGAGGGGUCAAAGGAGCAAUCCAGUGCGGGGUGGGCUCGCGUCCGAUUAGAUAGUUGGUGAGGUAACGGCUCACCAAGUCGACGAUCGGUAGCCGACCUGAGAGGGUGAUCGGCCACAUUGGGACUGAGACACGGCCCAAACUCCUACGGGAGGCAGCAGUGGGGAAUAUUGGGCAAUGGGGGAAACCCUGACCCAGCAACGCCGCGUGAGGGAAGAAGGUUUUCGGAUCGUAAACCUCUGUCCCAGGAGAAGAGCAGAAGACGUAUCCUGGAGGAGCCCC